rfam:Lupinus angustifolius cultivar Tanjil chromosome LG19, whole genome shotgun sequence.
CGGAAAAACAUCAUUGAGUGCAGCAUUGAUGACGUCUCACGUAGAUGCCAAGUCGUGUUAUUGAUGCUGCACUCAAUCAUAUUUUUC